rnacentral:rRNA from 1 species
CCUAUGGGGUGCAGCAGGCGCGAAAACUUUACAAUGCGGGAAACCGUGAUAAGGGGACACCGAGUGCCAGCAUCAUAUGCUGGCUGUCCGGAUGUGUAAAAUACAUCCGUUAGCAAGGGCCGGGCAAGACCGGUGCCAGCCGCCGCGGUAACACCGGCGGCCCGAGUGGUGAUCGUGAUUAUUGGGUCUAAAGGGUCCGUAGCCGGUUUGGUCAGUCCUCCGGGAAAUCUGAUAGCUCAACUAUUAGGCUUUCGGGGGAUACUGCCAGACUUGGAACCGGGAGAGGUAAGAGGUACUACAGGGGUAGGAGUGAAAUCUUGUAAUCCCUGUGGGACCACCUGUGGCGAAGGCGUCUUACCAGAACGGGUUCGACGGUGAGGGACGAAAGCUGGGGGCACGAACCGGAUUAGAUACCCCCGUAGUCC